GCAAAUUGUGCAAAUACCUGUCCUAUCUCUUCUUCUUCAUCCACAGUUACUCGAGUAUCCAAUGCCUCUACCAUAAUAGCUUCUACUGUCAUUUGCCUCUUCCUCUUUAUCGCAUUGAUGAUUAAUUCAUGAAAAUCCUUCUUGGCUAUGCCUAGAGCCUCUCUUAGAGUGAAUUCAAUCUUUGCAUCCAAGAUCUUCUCCUCUAAAAUACUCUUCAUAUCU
rnacentral:lncRNA from 1 species